rnacentral:rRNA from 1 species
UUUGUAAGUUGUUGAGGGCAUACGGUGGAUGCCUUGGCACCAGGGGCCGAUGAAGGACGUGGGAGGCUGCGAUAAGCCGCGGGGAGCUGUCAACCGGGUGUUGAUCCGUGGAUUUCCGAAUGGGGUAACCUAGCUCGAGUUAUGUCGGGUUGCUGCCGUCUGAAUGUAUAGGGCGGUGUGUGGUGACGCGGGGAAGUGAAACAUCUCAGUACCCGUAGGAAGAGAAGACAAUAUGUGAUUCCCUGAGUAGUGGUGAGCGAAAGGGGAUGAGGCUAAACCAUGUGCGUGUGAUACCUGGCAGGGGUUACGUGUGUGGGGUUGUGGGAGCUGCGUGUGGGGGUCUGCCAGCCUCCAGCGGAGUGAGAAAACACUGUGCGAGCCGAAGCCGUUGGAAUGCGGUGCCGUAGUGGGUGAGAGUCCUGUAGGUGGUUGUGUGGUGUCUCCGUUGCGUGGUGUCCCGAGUAGCGCGGGGCCCGUGUAAUCCCGUGUGAAUCUGGCAGGACCACCUGUCAAGCCUAAAUAUGUCCUGGUGACCGAUAGUGCACGAGUACCGUGAGGGAAAGGUGAAAAGUGCCCCGGUGAGGGGUUGUGAAAGAGUACCUGAAACCGUGUGCUUACAAGCCGUCAGAGCAGCGCCACUCCUUUUUGGGGUGGUUUUUUGUGAUGGCGUGCCUUUUGAAGAAUGAGCCUGCGAGUUGUGGUGUGUGGCGAGGUUAACCCGGGUGGGGGAGCCGUAGCGAAAGCGAGUCUGAAUAGGGCGUUUUUAGUCGCAUGCUGCAGACCCGAAGCGGAGUGAUCUACCCAUGGGCAGGGUGAAGCGCGGGUAAGACCGUGUGGAGGCCCGGACCCACCAGGGUUGAAAACCUGGGGGAUGAUCUGUGGGUAGGGGUGAAAGGCCAAUCAAACUCCGUGAUAGCUGGUUCUCCCCGAAAUGCAUUUAGGUGCAGCGUUGCGUGUGCUCGUCUGAGGUAGAGCUACUGGUUGGCUGAUGGGCCCGACAAGGUUACUGACGUCAGCUAAACUCCGAAUGCAGGUCGAGUUGAGCGUGGCAGUGAGACUGCGGGGGAUAAGCUUCGUAGUCGAGAGGGAAACAGCCCAGAUCAUCAGCUAAGGCCCCUAAGCGUGUGCUAAGUGGGAAAGGAUGUGGAGUUGCUGAGACAACCAGGAGGUUGGCUUAGAAGCAGCCACCCUUUAAAGAGUGCGUAAUAGCUCACUGGUCAAGUGAUUCUGCGCCGAUAAUUUAGCGGGGCUCAAGCACACCGCCGAAGCUGUGGAGCCUAUGCCGUUGGGUGUGGGUUGGUAGGGGAGCGUCGUCCUUUGCGGUGAAGCCAUACGGGUGACCGGUGGUGGAGUGGGGGCGAGUGAGAAUGCAGGCAUGAGUAGCGUUAACGGCGUGAGAAACGUCGUCGCCGAUUGACUAAGGGUUCCUGGGGCAGGUUAAUCCGCCCAGGGUGAGUCGGGGCCUAAGGCGAGGCCGACAGGCGUAGUCGAUGGAUAACGGGUUGAUAUUCCCGUACCCGUGGGUGUGCGUCCACGCUGAACCUCCGGAUGCUGACCAUGGUGAAGCACCAUUACGCCGGCCCUUCGGGGUGGGUGGGUGGUGUGGAUGGUGGGACCCGAUGGGGUAGUAGGUGAGUGAUGGGGUGACGCAGGAGGGUAGCUCUACCGGGCGGUGGUUGUCCCGGGGUAAGCGUGUAGCCCGGAGGGUAGGCAAAUCCGCCCUUCUUGUGGGUGAGGCGUGAUGCCGAGCCGUUUUAGGUGAAGUGAGUGAUCCCAUGCUGCCGAGAAAAGCCUCUAGCGAGUGCGCUCAUGGCCCGUACCCGAAACCGACGCUGGUGGUCAGGUAGAGAAUACCGAGGCGCUCGGGUGAACCAUGGUUAAGGAACUCGGCAAAUUGUCCCCGUAACUUUGGGAGAAGGGGAGCCCUGUCUGGUGAUCCAACGUGCUUGGUGAGCUGGGUGGGGUCGCAGAGGCCAGGGGGAAGCGACUGUUUAUUAAAAACACAGGUCCGUGCGAAGUCGUAAGACGCUGUAUACGGACUGACGCCUGCCCGGUGCCGGAACGUUAAGAGGACCGGUUAAGUGGCCUUGUGCUGCUGAAGCUGGGAAUCUAAGCGCCGGUAAACGGCGGUGGUAACUAUAACCAUCCUAAGGUAGCGAAAUUCCUUGUCGGGUAAGUUCCGACCUGCACGAAUGGCGUAACGACUUCCCCGCUGUCUCGACCAUGGGCCCGGUGAAAUUGCACUACGAGUAAAGAUGCUCGUUACGCGCAGCAGGACGGAAAGACCCCGGGACCUUCACUAUAGCUUGACAUUGGUGUUUGGGGCGGCUUGUGUAGGAUAGGUGGGAGCCGGUGAAGUCAUCACGCUAGUGGUGGUGGAGGCGUUGGUGAAAUACCACUCUGGUCGUUUCGGGCAUCUCAACCUGCGACCCUUAUCGGGUUGGGGGACAGUGUCUGGUGGGUAGUUUAACUGGGGCGGUUGCCUCCUAAAGGGUAACGGAGGCGCCCAAAGGUUCCCUCGGCCUGGUUGGCAAUCAGGUGGUGAGUGUAAGUGCACAAGGGAGCUUGACUGUGAGACGGACGUGUCGAGCAGGUGCGAAAGCAGGGACUAGUGAUCCGGCACCACCGUGUGGAUGGGGUGUCGCUCAACGGCUAAAAGGUACCCCGGGGAUAACAGGCUGAUCUUCCCCAAGAGUCCAUAUCGACGGGAUGGUUUGGCACCUCGAUGUCGGCUCGUCGCAUCCUGGGGCUGGAGUUGGUCCCAAGGGUUGGGCUGUUCGCCCAUUAAAGCGGCACGCGAGCUGGGUUUAGAACGUCGCGAGACAGUUCGGUCCCUAUCCGCUGCGCGCGUAGGAGACUUGAUGGGGGGCUGUCCCUAGUACGAGAGGACCGGGACGGACGAACCUCUGGUGUGCCAGUUGUACCGCCAGGUGCAUGGCUGGUUGGCUACGUUCGGGAGGGAUAACCGCUGAAAGCAUCUAAGCGGGAAGCCUGCCCUGAGAUGAGGUCUCCCACCCACUUCGGUGGGGUAAGGCUCCCAGGAGACGACUGGGUUGAUAGGCCGGAUGUGGAAGCACUGUGAGGUGUGGAGCUGACCGGUACUAAUAGGCCGAGGACUUACCCA